ACCACAGCCAUAUGAGACACAGCCCAAGACUGGUUACUCACUGAAGCUAAUUGGGUUGAGCCUGGUCAGUACCUGGAUGGGAGACCACUUGGGAAAACUAGGUUGCUGUUGGUA
rnacentral:rRNA from 1 species